CGCCUGUUUAUCAAAAACAUCUCUUCUCGUUAGUUUUUGAAGUAUGGCCUGCCCACUGACCUUGAAUGUUGAAGGGCCGCGGUAUUUUGACCGUGCAAAGGUAGCAUAGUCAUUAGUUCUUUAAUUGUGAUCUGGUAUGAAUGGCUUGACGAGGUAUAAGCUGUCUUAAUUUUGAAUUGUUUAUUGAAUUUGGUCUUUGAGUUAAAAUUCUUAGAUGUUUUUAUGGGACGAGAAGACCCUAUAGAGUUUAACAUUUAUUAUGGUCUUUUUCUGUUUGUGAGGGUUCACUAGGGCUGUUUAAUAUGUUUUGUUGGGGUGAUGGGAGGGAUAUUAUUUAACCCCUCCUUUGUGUUGUUAUAUUUAUUUAUAUUUGCUUGAUCCAUUUAUUUUGAUUGUAAGAUUAAAUUACCUUAGGGAUAACAGCGUAA
rnacentral:rRNA from 1 species